UUAGGAAAUGCAGAUUGGUUAAUACCCAACCUGUUUGACAAAGGCCCCAAAGGAAGCCACGGCUAACUCUGUGCCAGCAGCCGCGGUAAUACAGAGGUGGCAAGCGUUGUUCGGUAUUAUUGGGCGUAAAGAGCACGUAGGUGGUUUUGUAAGUCAGAUGUGAAAGCCUUCUGUUCAAAGGAAGAACGGCAUCUGAAACUGCAGAUCUUGAGUGUAGGAGGGGAGAGUGGAAC
rnacentral:rRNA from 1 species